rfam:Amborella trichopoda AMTR_V1.0_contig_16143, whole genome shotgun sequence.
AAAAAAGCAGAGGUCUGUACUUUUCUCCUCUGAGCUGGCCUCUCGUAAACUUCAGGGAAAUUAUUUGCACCAUUAUUGGGUGAACCUUUGUAAAUUAUACUUGUGAAUAAAGGUUCAAUAAAUGUUGCGACAUUA